rnacentral:lncRNA from 1 species
UAAAGAUAAGGACAUCAAAGGCUGUGGUUUCAGAGAAGCCUGAGAAAAGGUACAUUUCAUUGGUGCAUGAAUGGAAAUUUAAAAGGUUU